rnacentral:rRNA from 1 species
UACGGAGGGUGCAAGCGUUAUCCGGAUUCACUGGGUUUAAAGGGUGCGUAGGUGGAGUGGUAAGUCAGUGGUGAAAUCUCCAAGCUUAACUUGGAAACCGCCGUUGAUACUAUCAUUCUUGAAUAUCGUGGAGGUAAGCGGAAUAUGUCAUGUAGCGGUGAAAUGCUUAGAUAUGACAUAGAACACCGAUUGCGAAGGCAGCUUGCUACACGAUCAUUGACACUGAGGCACGAAAGCGUGGGGAUCAAACAGG